rnacentral:rRNA from 1 species
UAUCAGAGGGGAAUAACCCGGCGAAAGUCGGACUAAUACCGCAUAAAACAGGGGCACCGCAUGGUGAUAUUUGUUAAAGAAAUUCGCUGAUAGAUGGGCAUGCGUCCAUUAGGUAGUUGGUGAGGUAACGGCUCACCAAGCCGACGAUGGAUAGGGGAACUGAGAGGUUGGUCCCCCACACUGGUACUGAGACACGGACCAGACUCCUACGGGAGGCAGCAGUGAGGAAUAUUGGUCAAUGGGCGAGAGCCUGAACCAGCCAAGUCGCGUGGAAAAGGAAGAAGGAUCUAUGGUUACGUAAACUUUCUUUUGCGAGGGGAAUAAAGUGCAGGACGUGUCCUGUUUUGUAUGUACCCUGAGAAUAAGGAUCGGCUAACUCCGUGCCAGCAGCAGC